rnacentral:rRNA from 1 species
CCUACGGGUGGCAGCAGUGAGGAAUAUUGGUCAAUGGACGAGAGUCUGAACCAGCCAAGUAGCGUGAAGGAUGACUGCCCUAUGGGUUGUAAACUUCUUUUAUAUGGGAAUAAAAUGGUCCACGUGUGGGAUUUUGUAUGUACCAUAUGAAUAAGGAUCGGCUAACUCCGUGCCAGCAGCCGCGGUAAUACGGAGGAUCCGAGCGUUAUCCGGAUUUAUUGGGUUGAAAGGGAGCGUAGGUGGAUUGUUAAGUCAGUUGUGAAAGUUUGCGGCUCAACCGUAAAAUUGCAGUUGAAACUGGCAGUCUUGAGUACAGUAGAGGUGGGCGGAAUUCGUGGUGUAGCGGUGAAAUGCUUAGAUAUCACGAAGAACUCCGAUUGCGAAGGCAGUUCACUGGACUGCAACUGACACUGAGGCUCGAAAGUGUGGGUAUCAAACAGGAUUAGAUACCCUGGUAGUC